rnacentral:lncRNA from 1 species
UUGAGCAGUGUUAGAGUAGCGUUUAGAUUUACAGUCCAGUUUCCUGAUUUUUUUCUUCUCUCUUUUCAUUUUUUCCGUUUUUUUUCUUUCAGAAGCUUUAAAAAGCACUUUUGCAGUUUAGGAGAUGAGGAGCUACUUUCACUCCAGCUCAGUUUUGCUCCAGGUACUGAGUCAUUAGUUGUGGCAAAGUUUCCAUUUUUGGUGAGACUUGUGCUCCCACAACAGUCGGACAGUCUCUUAUCCAGGAUAUCUUGAAAACAUGAGCUAGGAUAAAGCUGAUGAACUGCAGCAUAGCUCCAUUAAAGCCCAUAGGAUAUUCCAGCUGACAGCAUCUGGGCUUUGGGUUAUUUUGUAGACAAGGUUUGUGCAAGCGUUUCCCUAAGUUGUCUUGUGAGUAUACUGUGUUUUGGAUUGACCUGUUUGGUGCAAACCUCUGAAUCACGGUUUCCCUUUCUGCAGGUGAAGGCGUUGUGUGAUCCAGCCGAGGCAGCACAGAGUGCACGGCUGGAUCCCGUCACGGCAGGAGCGCCUCUCCCUCGUGAUGCUCUAGCAGCCAUUUUACCACAGCUGAGGCCUGCAAGCGUUUCAAAAUGCCAGAAGUACUGUUGUUUUCCUUCUGUGUCUCAGAUAAAGAGACAGAAAUCAGCUCUUGGGACUUCAUGCAGAGAUUGCACCUGGGGCAGUUGCAAAGGAGGAGGCCGCAUAACUGUUCAAAUGUCUCACAGAAGCCCGUCAUAUCCUAGCCGUUACUAACUGGGACGUUUCAUGCUUUCUUAUCCUCUUCAUAAAGGCACACCUGAGUACAGCCAGGCAUGAGGACUGCUGUAAAUAUUAGCUCCUUUGUUAGCUGAAUGCUUCCUCUCUCAUCGCUGAAACAAGACAGCUAAAUUCAACAAUGAAAGCACUACUAAACCGCAGCUCUGGUUAUUAUCCCAACUCCUUAGUACGUCACUAUUUUGAAUAAAG